rnacentral:piRNA from 1 species
UAAACUGCUAUACUGUAGGUAUGCCAGACCC